AAAGAAGGCCUCUUCAUCCUGCGAGUGAAGAUUGAAAAAAAUGUUCAGUGAACUAACAAGGAUUAAUGUCAAGUAUUUUUAGUAUUGAAGUUUAAGAUUGCAGGAAUUUUGUCACUCCAUGGGCAGAAAAUCAAAAGAGCCGUUGGAGCAUGAAUGGAAGAUGGGAACUGAAUUGUAUGAACCUUGGCAUAUUUUUCAACAUAGCACCGGAAUUCAGGAUCUUCCACAAGAGCCUUGUCAGUAGGGAGCUUCAAGAGCCCUUCAGAGUCACCUUUCAGCAGUUCACUGUAUCAUACAAAGCGACGAAAACAGUGUGACAUUACUGCACAAUCUUAAAAGAAAAAGGAUUCUUUUGCGUUGCAAAUUUCCAAUUGCGAGGUUGUAGCCCUUGUUUCGUUCGGAAAGAGCAAACAUAUGUUGAAAGAUCAUAUUGAAAAUCAUUGAACAGCACUGUACUAGAUAGUGCCAGUGAUGUGUUGGGAAGCUACCUUGCUUUGCAUCCGGCAAGCGUCCUUCCUCUGGACAAACUGAAGAAUCCUGGUCAAACAUGGAAAGGAACGAAAUCGAUGGUUGGUCCACCAGUAACUUCGACGGCAACAACUCCAGCGAGCUGGUCAGCAAAACAGUAUUAGAUAUGGAGGAAGCAGGACUAGGGUGUUAAGACUUCAUCCAUUUGAUGAUAGGCGUUUCAAAAGCACCAGGAGGCUACUCCAAAUAUAUUCACUUGGGACUACAGAGAGGAGCAAGAUGUAUCUGAUGGAAGAAGUACUGACCUAAAA